rnacentral:rRNA from 1 species
AGGAAUAUUGGUCAAUGGACGAGAGUCUGAACCAGCCAAGUAGCGUGAAGGAUGACUGCCCUAUGGGUUGUAAACUUCUUUUAUACGGGAAUAAAGUGAGGCACGUGUGCCUUUUUGUAUGUACCGUAUGAAUAAGGAUCGGCUAACUCCGUGCCAGCAGCCGCGGUAAUACGGAGGAUCCGAGCGUUAUCCGGAUUUAUUGGGUUUAAAGGGAGCGUAGGCGGACGCUUAAGUCAGUUGUGAAAGUUUGCGGCUCAACCGUAAAAUUGCAGUUGAUACUGGGUGUCUUGAGUACAGUAGAGGCAGGCGGAAUUCGUGGUGUAGCGGUGAAAUGCUUAGAUAUCACGAAGAACCCCGAUUGCGAAGGCAGCUUGCCAGGCCUGGACUGACGUUGAGGCUCGAAGGUGCGGGUAUCGAACAGGAUUAGAUACCCUGGUAGUCCGCACGGUAAACGAUGGAUACUCGCUGUCGGCGAUACACGGUCGGCGGCCAAGCGAAAGCGUUAAGUAUCCCACCUGGGGAGUACGCCGGCAACGGUGAAACUCAAAGGAAUUGACGGGGGCCCGCACAAGCGGAGGAACAUGUGGUUUAAUUCGAUGAUACGCGAGGAACCUUACCCGGGCUUGAAUUGCAACUGAAUGAUGUGGAGACAUGUCAGCCGCAAGGCAGUUGUGAAGGUGCUGCAUGGUUGUCGUCAGCUCGUGCCGUGAGGUGUCGGCUUAAGUGCCAUAACGAGCGCAACCCCUCCCGCCAGUUGCCAUCAGGUAAAGCUGGGCACUCUGGGGGCACUGCCACCGCAAGGUGUGAGGAAGGUGGGGAUGACGUCAAAUCAGCACGGCCCUUACGUCCGGGGCUACACACGUGUUACAAUGGGAGGUCACAGAGGGCUGCUACCCGGCGACGGGACGCCAAUCCCCAAACCCUCCCUCAGUACGGACUGGAGUCUGCAACCCGACUCCACGAAGCUGGAUUCGCUAGUAAUCGCGCAUCAGCCACGGCGCGGUGAAUACGUUCCCG